UACGAAGGGGGCUAGCGUUGCUCGGAAUCACUGGGCGUAAAGCGCACGUAGGCGGAUCUUUAAGUCAGGGGUGAAAUCCUGGAGCUCAACUCCAGAACUGCCUUUGAUACUGGGGAUCUCGAGUCCGGAAGAGGUGAGUGGAACUCCGAGUGUAGAGGUGAAAUUCGUAGAUAUUCGGAAGAACGCCAGUGGCGAAGGCGGCUCACUGGUCCGGUACUGACGCUGAGGUGCGAAAGCGUGGGGAGCAAACAGG
rnacentral:rRNA from 1 species